GGAUAGGAACAGAGAGUUGAGUACUGAUGGAAUCCAAAUGCUGCAAAAUUGUUAGGUUCUAAAUACUGAGAAGUGGCAGAGAUUAAGUGAAGAUAUAUUGGGAGGAUUUGCUGACAUAAAGUGGUCUUGACUUGAUUGCUUUGGAAGACAUGACCUAGAACAAAUGUGUAGCAGAGUGGGGAGGAACUGGGAUUUAUAGCUGCAAAUUAGUAAGAGGGUUGGCAGUGUCCAGCCCUGUGUUCAAUAUAAGCCUUUUAUCAGCAGGCAGAAGAACCCACAGGAUAGGUCUUACUCUACUUCAAAGUUGAAGGAGGAAACAAAUUAGAGCCAAGAUUUAUUAAGCAACCUUGGACUUCUUUGCAACCCCAAAAGAUCUCUCUGAUUUGCUCUGCAGCUACCUUGGCCAUUCACUAAAAACAAGUUUGAGUGAUGGAGCUCAGGGUCAAGAUGCAGGGAAGAAUUUGGCAGAUGGGAAGAGUUUUCCAUCUCUAGUAGUUCAGGCUAAGCUCAUUCUUAAAUCUUUGAAUAAAAUUCCCCACAACUCUAGCUCUAGCCCAGUUUUGGAUUGAAGGCUGAAUGCCCUGAUUUAUUUUUAUUACAUGGGAGCAUAUUCUAAUGAAAUUCCCUAUAAACAACAGGCUACUUGCCCUUAGCAUUUAGCAGAUACCAACCAGAAUUGAAACAAAUCCAGUAACUUCUUGCACCAGGUGUAGAAAAAAAUAUACAUUUUAGUUAUUAUUAUUUGAGAGAUGAAAAGUGCUAAGUGAUAGGCAUCAGAGAAGCUACAGGGACAUGAAUAUUGUGGAGGAAACAAGAAAGGGUUUAGGAAGCAUUUCAAUGACCUUUGAAUUAGGAGGCAUCUCAUGUUCUUAAAGAGAUACAAAUGAAGAUUGAAUUCUUUGCUAAUGCUUUGGCUUGGGCCAAAUGUAGGACACAUAACUUUGGAGUUUAUAUCUAGGUUACAGAAGAAUUACUGAGUCCCAUCUACUUUGGGCGAGCACUGGGUUAGGUAGAUACUUCACAUGUGUUCCUCCAUUUCCUUUUCAGAACAGCUCUAUGAAGCAGAGAGAAAUAACUUCCUCUAGUAAGUGGCAUAAUUAAAAUUUGAAACUAGGCUGGUUUGACUCUAUAGCAUGUGUAAUUUUUACUACACCAGGAAAUCAUGAAUCAUUCUCUGCCGAUGUAUGUUUUUUAUUACAUCUAAUUAGGAGCAGACUUUCAGAAGCAGCUGACAGUGGUUAUUAGUUAUUAUUAGAAGCAGCAGCUUAGUAAAAAUGAUUAACAUGUAAAUUUGGUAAACAUUAUUAUUCAGGUAAACAACACUAAAAACCUCAGUCAACAGGUCGUUUCAUGCAUCUACUUCAGCUACAUUUUGUAGCCCAUUCAUCUUGAUUGGCCAUUGUGAUAAACUACUUUUCCAAAGAAUUAAAUAUUUCACAGGGCACAGAGAAACAUUUCUGGUCAACUUGCUUCCAUUAUUAAAAUGUGCCAUUAGAUUUUUUUUCAAAACUCAAUUCCUUUUCCUUGUUGUAUAAUGAAGCAAUGAAACAUUUUAUAUCAAGAACAUUUUUCAAGAGCUGGAGCAGUUUUAAGGCUUCUUUUAAGGAAAAACUUAGUCCUUCCAGAAGGUACUCCCUUGGCUCACUUCCAUGUGCAAGUGGGCUGGCCCAGAGAAAGAAAAUAUAUUUUGAGUUCUUCAAAUUUAACAACAGAAUAUUAAUUCUGCAUCAUCCAUAUCGGGUUCAUAAAAACCUAGGGAUCUCCUUUCACUUAAUCUUACAAAGAUACAUUUCAUGAAUUGAAUUCAUUCUGUCUUUCUGUAAAACUCAUUUGAGAUUAACUAUUCAUUUUUCAAAAUUCUCUAAGCUUCAUCCUCUAAUAAGCUGAAAGCCACAUGCAUGGACUCCACUCUUACAGCUCUUUGAAGCAGUGCUGAGUGAUGCACAAGGUAUGCACACACCUGGGAGCCUGUUCAAGAUUCUCCACUUAUCAAAUAUGGGACCUUCAGAAAAUUGUUUGCUUUCCUUAAGUUCAGUUUCCUCACCAGUAAGAUAAUUUUAGAAAUUAAGUUCAGCAAACAUAUUUAGAGUAUCUAUUAAGGACUACACUUUGUGCUGGAGUUAGGUAUAAAAAAUUAAUUCAUUAUUGACCCAAUAUUUAUUUUGAGCAUAUACUAUGCUCAGUGUUAGUCACUGUCUUAAGAGCUAAGGAUAAAUCUUUGAACAAGGCUGACAAAUUUCCUGUCCUCAUAGCUUGUAUUUUAGUAAGAUAUUCAGAAAAUAAAUAAGGAAACCAAGAACCGACUCAACAGAAAUUCAAGUCAGUGAUAGGGACUAUGAAGAAAAUACACUAGAAUAAGCAGGUGUCUCUGUGGGAAUAUGACUGCUAUGGAAACAAAAGUCAGACAAGUUCCCAUCUAGGAAGCGGACAUUUGACAGAGAUAUGAAUGAUAAGAAAAGAUGAUCAAGAAAUCUUUGUAUUCAAUGAGCUUAUUUCCUAGCAGUGCAUAGAGUGGGGAGGAUAUAAUUUCAGUAAGUGCUCGGAUUGAAGUAUGCAGUAAAAAUUUCUUGGAAGGAUGUGUUUAAGCAAUGUAAAAGUGCCUCAGAUGAAGUGAUGCCCAUAUCGAUACUCACCAGAUGUGAGUCAUCUUUUCUCUAAGAUUUAGCAUGGUGUUCCUCUCCCUUAAUCACUGUGAAAGAAAAUGACGACUUCUUAGAAUCAGAAAACACUGGGUCUAAUUAUAUGUUUAAAAAGCAUAUACCUUCUUUUGUGAGACGAUAAAAAUUAUAUAACACCGCAGAUUUCCCUCCAAACUUCUACUGGCUAUGGUGCUCGAUUUCUGCCAUCAACCUCUAUUUCUUGUGUUUUUAUUUCCAAUUUUCUUUAAUGUUUUAUUGCCAUAAGCUGUCUUGAUUUUUUUAUACCUGGACAGGGAAUAAAUGUUUUAAACAAACACGUUCACCCAAUCCAGUUACUUUUGUGUCUGGUAUUUAGAAGAAGUGCUUGGCAUUUAAAGUGGAAAAAUACUUCUAGUAUUUCCUUUUUAUAUGUAUGCCUCAUUUCCAGUAUUUUGGAUAUGACAGAGGAAAGGGGUUACUAGACAGAAUUACUUUAACCCACUUUCUUACUUUACCCUCAGACAUUUGGGGUCUUUUUUCACAGCAUAAAAUCUAUGGUAAAACUUUAUUAAUGCAAUGUUAUUGGAGUAGAAGGCAAUGUGAGCCACUCACAGUGAAAUAUGGUGUAUCUUCAAACACGCAUUAACUUACUGGUUAAGAAUGUGCACUUUUUAUUUAGACACGAUGAAGACUAAAUGCUUUCUCCUGCACUUGCUGACAACAGCCUUGGUGUAUGUUCCAGUCUCUCUGGGUCUCAUCUGUACAAUGCGAGAAAUAACACCUACCUCGUGGGAUUCCACUGAGGCUGAGGACGUUAUAUAUAUAUAUAUAUAUAUAUAUAUCAAACAAUGUUUAUAAAGUGCUUAGCAAAAUAUCUUUACCUAGCAAGUAUCAAAAAUAUAAAUUAUUCUCCAGAUUUUAUAUCAAUUUUAUUACAUGUUCUAUAGAGAAAAAUGACACCUUCCAAGAUUAACAGUUUUUGUCAUAAAUCAGAGUAUACCAACCAUCAGAGUUCCUAGAAUUCCUCUACCUCAUCAUAAUUCAAGAACAAGCAAUAGGGUGGUUGCAAACAGAGUCUAAC
rnacentral:lncRNA from 1 species